rnacentral:rRNA from 1 species
GUUUACGGCCAUGCCACCCUGAACAUGCCCGAUCUUGUCUGAUCUCAGAAGCUAAGCAGGGUCGGGCCUGGUUAGUACUUGGAUGGGAGACCACCUAGGAAGACCAGGUGCUGUAGGCU